GUAGGGAAUCUUCCACAAUGGACGAAAGUCUGAUGGAGCAACGCCGCGUGAGUGAAGAAGGUCUUCGGAUCGUAAAACUCUGUUGUUAGAGAAGAACGUGCAUGAUAGUAACUGAUCAUGUAAUGACGGUAUCUAACCAGAAAGCCACGGCUAACUACGUGCCAGCAGCCGCGGUAAUACGUAGGUGGCAAGCGUUGUCCGGAUUUAUUGGGCGUAAAGGGAACGCAGGCGGUUUUUUAAGUCUGAUGUGAAAGCCUUCGGCUUAACCGAAGAAUAGCAUUGGAAACUGGAAGACUUGAGUGCAGAAGAGGAGGGUGGAAUUCCAUGUGUAGCGGUGAAAUGCGUAGAUAUAUGGAGAAACACCAGUGGCGAAAGCGGCUCUCUGGUCUGUAACUGACGCUGAGGUUCGAAAGCGUGGGUAGCAAACAGGAUUAGAAACCCGAGUAGUCC
rnacentral:rRNA from 1 species